GAUGAACGCUAGCUCCAGGCUUAACACAUGCAAGUCGAGGGGAAACGACAUCGAAAGCUUGCUUUUGAUGGGCGUCGACCGGCGCACGGGUGAGUAACGCGUAUCCAACCUGCCCACCACUUGGGGAUAACCUUGCGAAAGUAAGACUAAUACCCAAUGAUAUCUCUAGAAGACAUCUGAAAGAGAUUAAAGAUUUAUCGGUGAUGGAUGGGGAUGCGUCUGAUUAGCUUGUUGGCGGGGUAACGGCCCACCAAGGCAACGAUCAGUAGGGGUUCUGAGAGGAAGGUCCCCCACAUUGGAACUGAGACACGGUCCAAACUCCUACGGGAGGCAGCAGUGAGGAAUAUUGGUCAAUGGACGAGAGUCUGAACCAGCCAAGUAGCGUGCAGGAAGACGGCCCUAUGGGUUGUAAACUGCUUUUAUAAGGGAAUAAAGUGAGUCUCGUGAGACUUUUUGCAUGUACCUUAUGAAUAAGGACCGGCUAAUUCCGUG
rnacentral:rRNA from 1 species